rnacentral:lncRNA from 1 species
CGGGCAUGCAGCAAAAACAAACCCGUGAAUUAGAGUAUGAUGAAGUUUUGUGUAGUUGCAACAACACUGUUUUUUGUUGCGGUGUUAUCGGCGCGGCACGGCUCACCACGUGGCGGUGUCAGUGUUGGGAUUUGGAAGAGAUAAAGCUUUGGGUGGUACUAAUUUGUGUUUUUUUUUGUGCUGGGAGCUUUUUGAAGUCUGUGAGGUAGCUUGGAUGUUCAGGCCACUUUGAUAGUCCAAGAUGCUGUCUGGUACUAAUGUACGCAAGAAGCGACCAGCAGCUGUUACUUCUGGACGAAGGAGGAAAGUGGCGAAAACUGUUCAGGAUCUCUAUUUUGUGGAAAGAAUAUUAGCCCACCAGUGGAAAGACGGCAACAUGAUGUACCUCAUCAAGUGGCAAGGUUUCAGGAUGCCUACGUGGGAGCCAGCGCAGAACCUGAAUCCUGUGAUCCUUCAAAAGUACCACGGUAAGAGCCAUACAUUAUGCAUUCCAGUUAGCUAAACAAAUCUACGGCUUGUGUUUUUUAUUGGGUUUAGGUGCAUGCAAUUGUGACUUAAAAGAGCGUUUAAUUUUUCAGUCGUUGCUUGUUUUGUUGU